rnacentral:rRNA from 1 species
AUGGCGCCGGUGGCAGACGAUGCCCUCGACGGCGGCGACGAGAAAUCAAUCUUCCGGUGCCUCGACGCGGCACGCUACGUGGUGGCCGCGGCGGUGACCGUCCUCGUCGUGACGGUCAUCGUGUACGCCAUCUCCGUGGUGCUCCGCCCAGCGGAGCUCUAUCUCGGGGUCGUGGGAGGCUCCGUCUCCGUCGUGGGAGGCGACAAGCCGUCGUCCCGGCCUUUCAGAGCCGUGGUCAACGGCGACAACCUCACCUUCUCGCUGACCGUCCGGGCCAUCAACCCCAGCGGCCGCGUCACCAUCUACUACACCGGCAUCGUCGCCAAGCUCAAGAGCAACAUGUCGUCGGACUCUUUCCUCACCCUCAAUUUGCCCCGCGUGGCCUUGGGGCCGCAGUCGAGUGUGGACAUCACCGUUGCGAUUAGUACGUUCAUGAUUGUUCCUGAGCAAGGGUACUAUUUCAAGCUGUUGGCCAACGGCACCAGCCUCGACGACGCCAUGAUUUUGCUCACCGGCACCCGCACCGUCGAGAUUUACUCCAGCAAGUACAAGCCCAAGGAGACUGUCGUCUACUACUGCUCGCCCAUCGCCAUCGGCGGCGGUGAGGACAAGGACGACGACAGUACGGCUGCAGUCGACGUGCGGUGCACCGAUCAGAAUCAGCCGGCCAGCAUCUAG